UACGGGGGGGGGCAAGCGUUGUCCGGAAUUAUUGGGCGUAAAGGGCUCGUAGGCGGUCUGUUGCGUCCGCUGUGAAAACUCGGGGCUUAACCCCCGAGCCUGCAGUGGAUACGGGCAGACUAGAGGUAGGUAGGGGGAGAAUGGAAUUUUCCGGUGUAGCGGUGAAAUGCGUAGAUAUCGGAAGGAACAUCAGUGGCGAAAGCGACUUCCUGGACCAGUACCGACGUUCAGGCACGAAAGCGUGGGGAGCAAACAGG
rnacentral:rRNA from 1 species